rnacentral:rRNA from 1 species
AGUGAACGCUGGCGGUAGGCCUAACACAUGCAAGUCGAACGGCAGCACAGUAAGAGCUUGCUCUUACGGGUGGCGAGUGGCGGACGGGUGAGGAAUACAUCGGAAUCUACUUUUUCGUGGGGGAUAACGUAGGGAAACUUACGCUAAUACCGCAUACGACCUACGGGUGAAAGCAGGGGAUCUUCGGACCUUGCGCGAUUGAAUGAGCCGAUGUCGGAUUAGCUAGUUGGCGGGGUAAAGGCCAACCAAGGCGACGAUCCGUAGCUGGUCUGAGAGGAUGAUCAGCCACACUGGAACUGAGACACGGUCCAGACUCCGACGGGAGGCAGCAGUGGGGAAUAUUGGACAAUGGGCGCAAGCCUGAUCCAGCCAUACCGCGUGGGUGAAGAAGGCCUUCGGGUUGUAAAGCCCUUUUGUUGGGAAAGAAAAGCAGCAGGUUAAUACCCCGCUGUUCUGACGGUACCCAAAGAAUAAGCACCGGCUAACUUCG